rnacentral:rRNA from 1 species
AACGAACGCUGGUGGUAUGCUUAACACAUGCAAGUCGAACGGGCAUAGCAAUAUGUCAGUGGCAAACGGGUGAGUAAUGUAUAGGAAUCUACCUAGCAGUAAGGAAUAACCCUGGGAAACCAGGGCUAAUGCCAUAUAUUACCGGUUAGCAAUAACCGGGAAAGAUUUAUCGCUGUUAGAUGAGCCUGUAUCAGAUUAGCUAGUUGGUGGGGUAAUAGCCUACCAAGGCAAUGAUCUGUAGCUGGUCUGAGAGGAUGAUCAGCCACACUGGAACUGCGACACGGUCCAGACUCCUACGGGAGGCAGCAGUAGGGAAUAUUGGACAAUGGGCGCAAGCCUGAUCCAGCAAUACCACGUGAGUGAUGAAGGCCUUCGAGUUGUAAAACUCUUUUAGUAGGGAAGAUAAUGACUGUACCUACAGAAAAAGCACCGGCUAACUUCGUGCCAGCAGCCGCCGUAA